rnacentral:rRNA from 1 species
AGUGAACGCUGGCGGUAGGCCUAACACAUGCAAGUCGAACGGCAGCACAGUAAGAGCUUGCUCUUACGGGUGGCGAGUGGCGGACGGGUGAGGAAUACAUCGGAAUCUACUUUUUCGUGGGGGAUAACGUAGGGAAACUUACGCUAAUACCGCAUACGACCUACGGGUGAAAGCAGGGGAUCUUCGGACCUUGCGCGAUUGAAUGAGCCGAUGUCGGAUUAGCUAGUUGGCGGGGUAAAGGCCCACCAAGGCGACGAUCCGUAGCUGGUCUGAGAGGAUGAUCCGCCACACUGGAACUGAGACACGGUCCAGACUCCUACGGGAGGCAGCAGUGGGGAAUAUUGGACCAUGGGCGCAAGCCUUAUCCAGCCAUACCGCGUGGGUGAAGAAGGCCUUCGGGUUGUAAAGCCCUUUUGUUGGGAAAGAAAAGCAGCAGGUUAAUACCCCGCUGUUCUGACGGUACCCAAAGAAUAAGCACCGGCUAACUUCGUG